rnacentral:rRNA from 1 species
CCAGACUCCUACGGGAGGCAGCAGUGGGGGAUAUUGCACAAUGGGGGGAACCCUGAUGCAGCGACGCCGCGUGGGUGAAGAAGUAUUUCGGUAUGUAAAGCCCUAUCGGCAGGGAAGAAAUUGGACGGUACCUGACUAAGAAGCCCCGGCUAACUACGUGCCAGCAGCCGCGGUAAUACGUAGGGGGCGAGCGUUAUCCGGAUUUACUGGGUGCAAAGGGAGCGUAGACGGUUCUGCAAGUCUGAAGUGAAAGCCCGUGGCUUAACCGCGGAACGGCUUUGGAAACUGUGGAACUGGAGUGCUGGAGAGGCAAGCGGAAUUCCUAGUGUAGCGGUGAAAUGCGUAGAUAUUAGGAGGAACACCAGUGGCGAAGGCGGCCUGCUGGACGACAACUGACGGUGAGGCGCGAAAGCGUGGGGAGCAAACAGGAUUAGAUACCCUGGUAUGA